rnacentral:rRNA from 1 species
GUGGGGAAUCUUGCGCAAUGGGCGAAAGCCUGACGCAGCCAUGCCGCGUGAAUGAUGAAGGUCUUAGGAUUGUAAAAUUCUUUCACCGGGGACGAUAAUGACGGUACCCGGAGAAGAAGCCCCGGCUAACUUCGUGCCAGCAGCCGCGGUAAUACGAAGGGGGCUAGCGUUGCUCGGAAUUACUGGGCGUAAAGGGCGCGUAGGCGGACAGUUUAGUCAGAGGUGAAAGCCCAGGGCUCAACCUUGGAAUUGCCUUUGAUACUGGUGAUCUUGAGUGUGAGAGAGGUAUGUGGAACUCCGAGUGUAGAGGUGAAAUUCGUAGAUAUUCGGAAGAACACCAGUGGCGAAGGCGACAUACUGGCUCAUUACUGACGCUGAGGCGCGAAAGCGUGGGGAGCAAACAGGAUUAGAAACCCGAGUAGUCC